rnacentral:rRNA from 1 species
GACGAACGCUGGCGGCGUGCCUAAUACAUGCAAGUAGGACGCAGUUGCGAACGGGUGAGUAACGCGUAGGUAACUACCUAUUAGAGGGGGGUAACUAUUGGAAACGAUAGCUAAUACCGCAUACUAGUAGAUGGACCUGCGUUGUAUUAGCUAGUAGGUUGGGUAAUGGCCUACCUAGGCAACGAUACAUAGCCGACCUGAGAGGGUGAACGGCCACACUGGGAAUGGGAAACGGCCCAGACUCCUACGGGAGGCAGCAGUAGGGAAUCUUCGGCAAUGGGGGGAACCCUGACCGAGCAACGCCGCGUGAGUGAAGAAGGUUUUCGGGUUGUAAAGCUCUGUUGAUAGGGAAGCGGUACUGAACCAGAAAGGAACGGCUAACUACGUGCCAGCAGCCGCGGUAAUAC